rnacentral:rRNA from 1 species
AGAGUUUGAUCCUGGCUCAGGAUUAACGCUGGCGGCAUGCCUAAUACAUGCAAGUCGAACGAGAGUAGCAAUACUCUAGUGGCGAACGGGUGAGUAACACGUAGGAAACCUGCCUCAAAGUCGAGGAUAACUACUGGAAACGGUAGCUAAAACUGGAUAGGAUAUAUUAAGGCAUCUUGAUAUAUUUAAAAGUCCUUCUGGGAAUGCUUUGAGAUGGUCCUGCGGCGCAUUAGCUAGUUGGUGAGGUAGUAGCUUACCAAGGCGACGAUGCGUAGCUGAGCUGAGAGGCCAAACAGCCACACUGGGACUGAGACACGGCCCAGACUCCUACGGGAGGCAGCAGUAGGGAAUCUUCGGCAAUGGGGGCAACCCUGACCGAGCAACGCCGCGUGAGUGAAGAAGGUUUUCGGAUCGUAAAGCUCUGUUGUAAGUCAAGAACGAGUGUGAGAGUGGAAAGUUCACACUGUGACGGUAGCUUACCAGAAAGGGACGGCUAACUACGUGCCAGCAGCCGCGGUAAUACGUAGGUCCCGAGCGUUGUCCGGAUUUAUUGGGCGUAAAGCGAGCGCAGGCGGUUUGAUAAGUCUGAAGUUAAAGGCUGUGGCUCAACCAUAGUUCGCUUUGGAAACUGUCAAACUUGAGUGCAGAAGGGGAGAGUGGAAUUCCAUGUGUAGCGGUGAAAUGCGUAGAUAUAUGGAGGAACACCGGUGGCGAAAGCGGCUCUCUGGUCUGUAACUGACGCUGAGGCUCGAAAGCGUGGGGAGCGAACAGGAUUAGAUACCCUGGUAGUCCACGCUGUAAACGAUGGAUACUAGGUGUGCGGGGACUGACCCCCUGCGUGCCGCAGUUAACACAAUAAGUAUUCCACCUGGGGAGUACGAUCGCAAGGUUGAAACUCAAAGGAAUUGACGGGGGCCCGCACAAGCGGUGGAUUAUGUGGUUUAAUUCGAAGCAACGCGAAGAACCUUACCAGGGUUUGACAUCCUGCUAACGAAGUAGAGAUACAUUAGGUGCCCUUCGGGGAAAGCAGAGACAGGUGGUGCAUGGUUGUCGUCAGCUCGUGUCGUGAGAUGUUGGGUU